rnacentral:rRNA from 1 species
AUUGAACGCUGGCGGCAUGCUUUACACAUGCAAGUCGAACGGUAACAGGCCGCAAGGUGCUGACGAGUGGCGAACGGGUGAGUAAUGCAUCGGAACGUGCCCAGUCGUGGGGGAUAACUACUCGAAAGAGUAGCUAAUACCGCAUACGAUCUAUGGAUGAAAGCGGGGGACCGUAAGGCCUCGCGCGAUUGGAGCGGCCGAUGUCAGAUUAGGUAGUUGGUGGGGUAAAGGCUCACCAAGCCAACGAUCUGUAGCUGGUCUGAGAGGACGACCAGCCACACUGGGACUGAGACACGGCCCAGACUCCUACGGGAGGCAGCAGUGGGGAAUUUUGGACAAUGGGCGCAAGCCUGAUCCAGCAAUGCCGCGUGCAGGAAGAAGGCCUUCGGGUUGUAAACUGCUUUUGUACGGAACGAAACGGCUCUGGUUAAUACCCGGGGCUAAUGACGGCACCGGAAGAAUAAGCACCGGCUAACUACGUG